GGCGAACGCUGGCGGCGUGCCUAAUACAUGCAAGUUGAGCGCUGAAGGUUGGUACUUGUACCGACUGGAUGAGCAGCGCACGGGUGAGUAACGCGUGGGGAAUCUGCCUUUGAGCGGGGGACAACAUUUGGAAACGAAUGCUAAUACCGCAUAAAAACUUUAAACACAAGUUUUAAGUUUGAAAGAUGCAAUUGCAUCACUCAAAGAUGAUCCCGCGUUGUAUUAGCUAGUUGGUGAGGUAAAGGCUCACCAAGGCGAUGAUACAUAGCCGACCUGAGAGGGUGAUCGGCCACAUUGGGACUGAGACACGGCCCAAACUCCUACGGGAGGCAGCAGUAGGGAAUCUUCGGCAAAGGACGAAAGUCUGACCGAGCAACGCCGCGUGAGUGAAGAAGGUUUUCGGAUCGUAAAACUCUGUUGGUAGAGAAGAACGUUGGUGAGAGUGGAAAGCUCAUCAAGUGACGGUAACUACCCAGAAAGGGACGGCUAACUACGU
rnacentral:rRNA from 1 species